UGAAAAGGCAAACCGAUCGUGAGGUUGGGACGCAAAACUAUGAGUCUUCGAGUCUUCAUAACGAAGAUUGUCAGGUUACCA
rnacentral:ncRNA from 1 species